rnacentral:lncRNA from 1 species
UUUAAUCUUUAAGUUUGUGUUAAAUUUGAAAUUGUUGGAUAUUGAGGUUUUGUUGGUUUUGGAUUGUUGAACAUGGUUGUUGGAUUUGUCAUGUUGGUAGUAGAGUGAAUUUGAGAAGGUGGAGUUGGAAUCGUGAAUUAGAAAAAGGGAAAAAUUAAGAAUGAUUGUGGAAAUUUUUGGAAGGAUUUAUAUUAUCGAUUGGUGGUAAUUUGUGAUGAAGGAGGUGAGAUUAAAUUGAUUUAGUUAU